CGUUGAAUUUUUAAAGUUCAAGGUAUUUUUCUAACUAAAAUUGAGAGAUAUUUUUGUAUCUAUAUUUUUGAAAAAAAAAUUAAAAUCUAAAUUUGAAAGUUGAAUCCAAGAUUUGAAAGGAAGAGAAUUGAAAUCAAAUUCUGUAAAUUGAAUGUGUAUAUAUUUGAUUUGAAUUGAUUUUGAUGAUUUAUCUUAAAUUCUUCUCUUACGCUUUUUGAUGC
rnacentral:lncRNA from 1 species